CACGUAGUUAGCCGGCGCUUCUUAUCCAGCUACCGUCAACCCACCCACCAGGGGCAGGCCUGCUUCACUGGCGAAAGAGGUUCACAACCCGAAGGCCUCCAUCCCUCACGCGGCGUCGCUGCAUCAGGCUUGCGCCCAUUGUGCAAUAUUCCCCACUGCUGCCUCCCGUAGGAGUCUGGGCCGCGUCUCAGUCCCAGUGUGACCGUCCACCCUCUCAGGCCGGCUACCCCGUCACCGCCUUGGUAGGCCAUCACCCCACCAACAAGCUGAUAGGCCGCGAGCCCAUCCCCCACCAGAAAAAACCUUUCCCAGACCCAUCAUGCGACAGACCCAGAAUAUCCCGUAUUAGCCACACUUUCAUGCGGUUAUCCAGAAGAAGGGGCAGGUUACUCACGUGUUACUCACCCGUUCGCCACUCAUCCACACCCCCAAAAAGGAAGCGCUCACCGUUCGACUUGCAUGUGUUAAGCACGCCGCCACGCGUCGUCCUCGUAGCCGACGGA
rnacentral:rRNA from 1 species